CCCCACCCACACUUUCUCCACUUCUCACUGCAUUGCUUCGCACCUUUCCUUCUCAACAAAUUUUCGGCCACAAUUUGUCCUCUUACCGAACAGAUUGGAAACCUUUAUCAACUACUCUGCCACCAAACAGCUUCCUCUUAAAUGGCACUGUAAAAAUUUAAAAAAACCCCCUAAGUUAAGUUCGUUCUGUGAAAUUUUUUUUCUGGUUUUGAAGUCUGUCGUUUUAUGGGUGGGGUUGUUUUUGUAUUUAAAAACUGUUGAGGGAUUUUGGAGUUCGGUAUAAAAGGAUAUUUAUAUUGGUUCAGAUUCUUCUCUCUGCGAAAACUCUCUCCUUUAGCCACCUUAUCUCUCUAUCUAUCUUGGGGUCUGUCUCUCAUGCUUUCCUCUUGAAAAACCAAGUGCUGGGUUUUCUUUAAGGGGCCUAUAGAGAGAUAGAGAGAUAGGAAGGAGAAACAUGGAGGCUGUGCUACAGACCAAAGGGCUUCUUUCCCUGCCACCAAAUCCCAAAAUCAGAGCUUCUUUGUAUCCCUCACAGGGCUUAAAGCGCAGGCUUUUUGCUGCUAAACCUAAAACCGUUUCUGGGCUUUCUUUAUCUUCAAAUGAUUUUCCUAGAUUUCCCAGCGUUGGGUCGAAACCAAAUGGGUUUCCCCCAAAAGAUAGAAAUUUGCAUAUUUGCAGGGCAGAGGCGGCGGCUGCGGCUGAUGGGCAGCCUUUAUUUGGUGAAGCUGAGAAGCCUAAGCUCUUGGGUAUUGAGCUCUCAACCCUCAGGAAAAUUAUCCCACUGGGGUUGAUGUUCUUUUGUAUUCUUUUUAAUUACACAAUCCUCAGAGACACAAAAGAUGUGUUGGUCGUGACGGCUAAAGGGAGUAGUGCAGAGAUUAUACCAUUUCUGAAAACUUGGGUGAAUUUGCCUAUGGCUAUUGGAUUUAUGUUGUUGUACACACAAUUGGCUAACGUUUUGUCUAAGCAGGCUCUCUUUUACACCGUAAUUGUUCCAUUUAUUGCCUUCUUCGGUGCUUUUGGGUUUCUUUUGUAUCCUCUUAGCAAUCACAUCCACCCUCAAGCAUUUGCUGAUAAGCUUCUCAAUGUACUCGGUCCAAGGUUUCUCGGUCCAAUUGCAAUUAUGAGGAUUUGGACUUUCUGUUUGUUCUAUGUCAUGGCUGAAUUGUGGGGGAGUGUGGUGAUUUCAGUACUUUUCUGGGGAUUUGCCAAUCAGAUCACUACUGUAGAUGAAGCAAAAAGAUUCUACCCUUUGUUUGGACUUGGGGCAAACGUUGCCCUAGUUUUCUCUGGCCGAACAGUGAAGUAUUUCUCUAAUUUGAGAAAAAAUUUGGGUCCCGGAGUCGAUGGCUGGGCCAUCUCCCUCAAAGGAAUGAUGAGCAUUGUGGUGUUGAUGGGACUUGCUAUCUGUUUCCUUUACUGGUGGGUGAAUAAGUUUGUUGCUCUCCCAACCCGCAGCAAGAAGAAGAAGGAAAAGCUAAAGAUGGGUACAAUGGAGAGCUUGAAAUUCCUGGUUUCUUCGAAAUACAUUAGAGAUCUCGCCACUUUGGUGGUUGCAUAUGGUAUUAGCAUCAAUCUGGUUGAGGUUACCUGGAAAUCUAAGCUCAAAGCACAGUUCCCCAGCCCAAAUGAGUAUUCUUCCUUUAUGGGUGACUUUUCAACUGCCACUGGAAUAGCAACAUUCACUAUGAUGCUUCUUAGCCAAUUUAUAUUUGACAAAUAUGGAUGGGGAGUUGCAGCCAAAAUCACACCCACAGUCCUACUUCUGACAGGAGUUGGUUUCUUCUCACUGAUUUUAUUUGGAGGUCCUCUUGCACCAGCUCUUGCACAGUUUGGGAUGACUCCUCUUCUUGCUGCUGUAUAUGUGGGUGCCAUGCAAAACAUAUUCAGCAAGAGUGCCAAGUACAGCUUGUUUGACCCAUGUAAAGAGAUGGCCUAUAUUCCCUUGGAUGAGGAGACCAAGGUUAAAGGGAAGGCAGCCAUUGAUGUCGUAUGCAAUCCAUUGGGCAAGUCUGGAGGAGCUUUGAUUCAACAAUUUAUGAUCUUAUCCUUUGGGUCACUUGCCAAUUCAACUCCUUACCUUGGUGGAACCCUUCUGGUGAUUGUGCUUGCAUGGUUAGCUGCAGCCAGGUCUCUGGAUACUCAGUUUACUGCUCUGCGUAGGGAAGAAGAGCUUGAGAAAGAGAUGGAAAGAGCAGCUGUUAAGAUACCAGUUGUGUCUCAAGAAGAAAGCGGAAAUGGUUCUCGUCUGGGUGGUUCCUCGCUCAAUCUGGCAGCAGGUGACUCGACCAGCAGUUCCUCUGAAACGACUCCCCGCAAGGUGUAAACUAUUUCUUCCAUCAUUCAACCACGGCAGACUAGAAAAAUAAGCGGAACAAAUGAGAAGCUUCGUUAGGUGAAUUGUCCAUUGUAGGACGUUAUUUAUAGAAUGGAAUAAUAGCUAGAAGGUGGUAUGCAUUCUACAGUUCUUUCUUUCUAAGUCCACUUUUUACCUGAAUAUGGGCUUACUGUCUGUUUGAGUUUUAUUUUUUUAGUUCUUCUGCCUGUAAAACUAAAUUGGAUAGAUAGUAAUAGAAAUCCCUUUUUAGUUUCCCAUAAUAAUUCCAAUUUCAAAUUUAACGGAUGGAUUUUGAUUCAAUUUUGAGCCUAAUCUGCAGCAAGCCUAAAACAGUGAGUUGAAGAAAGGAGCAGGCCAGGGCCGGCAAGCGUUCACUUUUCAGAUUAAGGAGGAGUUCUUUUUUGGGCUAGCAUGAAGCCAUGACCUCAAAAAAAGAACUUGGAAACCCAACUGGGUGUGGAUGAUAGCCCAGGCACAAACACAGGCACAGGGUUUCCUUUUUGAAGGUCCCAGAAGGCAGCUACAGUUGUAACCUUCGCAAUUGCCUCUGCCAGACUGCCAAGACUUUUUUUCACCCAAAUGAAAAAGGCAUCUCUGCAAGAUUCUGCCACUUUCCCUGGAAAAACAUCGCAAUUCGCCGCUGAGUGCUGGUUCGACGACGCAUGCAUCCUCAAUAUGGACUAUUUCGUUAAGACCUUAGCCGGGAUUAAGGCUAAGGGUGUCCGUUCUGACCUUAUUGGCUCAAUCAUAGCUCAC
rnacentral:misc_RNA from 1 species